GUAAUAAUACAAAUUCCUGGUUUCUGAUUACUUUCAUGAAAUGCUCAAUAGUAUAAUUGUGAGCCACUUUAUGCAAAUCUGUACAACCUUAGGCAUCAGCAAAAGAACAAAUUCCAAGACAGCUGGAUGGGUGAAGCUGUUUCAUUAAAAACUUAUGACAUGUGUGCUGGGAUUACAGGUGUGAGCCCCGCACCCAGCCUGUUGAAUAUAAAAAUGCUCCAGGAAUAAAUGCUUGGUGCCACAAAGUGAAACCAGCACUCAGGCAAAAGUUUUCACAGCAAGGCAAUUUACUUCUGCAGAAGGGUGCCACUCCCGUCAAUCAAGAUCGCAAGAGCACACCAAACAAAGGGGAGCAGGGGGUUUUUAUCUCUGAUGCAUAGUCCUUACCUCUGUGUCACUCCCCCAUGGGCUGGGGUUGGACUGCACAAUCUGAGCUGAUCCAAUUAGCUACUUGCAAAUAUUGUUCUAAAUAUGGAAGGGAAAGUGUACGUGAGGUACAGUGGUGAAGCAUGUAAGACAUGCAGUUUUGGGGGAACAACGCGUACAGAUAACCAAGGGAAAGGAUGUGAGUUAUUGAUUAGAGCUGGUGGGAAGGGGGUAAGCUGUUUUACAGUAACUAGGGGCAAGGAGGAACAGGAAAGUUAAGUUUGAGAACAAAGGACAAGGAAGUUAGCAGGCUAAAUCUUUGAAGAGAAACUCAGAGAAAUUCAUUGUAUCUUACACAGCCUAAUGUCCUUUUUAUGUCUAAAUUUUUACAUUUCACUUGAGCUGAG
rnacentral:lncRNA from 1 species